UACGGAGGGUGCGAGCGUUGUCCGGAAUCACUGGGCGUAAAGGGCGCGUAGGUGGUGGCUUAAGCGUGCGGUGAAAGCUCGGAGCUCAACUCCGAGUCGGCCGUGCGAACUGGGCUCACUGGAGCAUAGUAGAGGCAGGUGGAAUUCCGGGUGUAGCGGUGGAAUGCGUAGAGAUCCGGAAGAACACCGGUGGCGAAGGCGGCCUGCUGGGCUAUGGCGUGACACUGAGGCGCGACAGCGUGGGGAGCAAACAGG
rnacentral:rRNA from 1 species